CUCUAGCGCACAGUGAAAAGCGUCUGUGCCGUUACCUCAGCUGAACCUUCAAAUGAACUCGUUGCACUGCCUCGGUGCCGGAGCCAGGAGACGAAUCACUCGCGUUAGAUUCAAAACAGAGAGGCACUGUUGAGCCGGCUGAACCCGGUGCUCUGCACCAGCUCUCAGCACAACAUUCACGUCUCCUCUCCCUCCUGUCAUGCAGGCUGCCUUUUAUUGAAACAACUCUCUUGACGGGGACGUGUCUCUAGGGGCCACAAGUUGGUAAUUAUACAAAGCUGAAAAUUAUUGCUUAACCAGCGGAUACUUUUGCCGCAAAGCUUCAGUUUCUUUUUUAGAUUAUUUUUUUUCUAAAAGCAGAGCCAAAGGGUAAAACCUUUUGCUGGUCAUAAAAGCAAAAUCAUUGGAUAACACUGGAAUGGCUCACUGGCUUGGAGAGUAUUUUUCUUGACAGUUUCGGGAUGUCCUGUUCAAUAAGGGAGCCCCCUUUUUGCAUGCCUGUGUGUGUGUGUGUGUGCGUGUUUGUCUAGAUUUCUUUUAUAAAUGUUUUCCCUGGUUGUUAAGAUAUGUAUGUAGUGGUUUCUCAUGUGCGUUCACUAUCAAUAAAGUCGAUUGAGAAGUGGAUUGGUGUUCUGUUUAUUUGUGAUACGUCUUGAUCACACUGGACCGGUGUUGACCUUCGGACCUCCAAAGAAUCUCACAUGUCAGCCAAGAAAGAUGGUCAAGAAGGAUACCAUCUCAACUCCAAUUUCACCGGCUAAUGUUUCACAUCCAAACCAAAUGGUCAUCACAUUACUCAUUGGCUCUCUCCAUGCUGACAUCAUCUCCAUUUCAGAUUCCAUGUAAACCAUUAGUGAGCUGUGAAUAUAGCUCACCUUAUGCUCUUCCCAUUCAAAUCAUAUUUAGAUGCAACCCUGUUACCAUAAACUGCAAAUUGUAUUUGCAUUAGUAAAUAAUAGUAAUGUGACGGAUUGUUAGAAAAUGAUUGUUCCGAUUUUUAAAAUAAGCUCAUUAUAUGAA
ensembl:lncRNA